AGAACCUGCACAGAGGAAUCAAUCCUAAUGCUGAGAGCUUGAGAAGUGUCACUUGUGCUACCUCACCCCCGCCAAUCACACUAGCCUGAGAUGAUGGCGAGUUUGUCUGUGGCUGUGAUGUUAGGCCGUUCCUCCCCUGUCUCCCAUCUGGAAAUUCUGCUCCUUUGGAGCAGAGAUCUUGUCUACCAAUUCAAUUGAAUUGUACCUUACCAAGAGCUUAGUACAGUUUUCUACACCAGGUGUUGCAUAAGAGAGGAGACCUGGCAAGGGGUUGAAGUGGGAAGGGGGAUUCCACACCCACAUCUCCACCUCUGGGGCAGCAGGCUUGAGAAGUACGACCCCUUCUUGUAUGGCUAAGGCUUGGUACCCCUCAAAUCUACCCAAGCAGGGACUGCCCCUGCCCACCUCUUUGUCCUCUGGCCCUACCCCUUGUCCUGUUUCUGAAGCCUCAGCAAGACGAAAUAAUAAAGGCCAAGCAGUGGUGCUGACUUCCCGAAAUUUGGCUCAAGGUCAGCAACUUUCUCCUUCACUGAUGACCUGCCUCAGAAGCCCAGAUCGAGGUUGUUGUCAUUUCCCAGAGAUUCAUAUUGUGCCCUCCCACUCACUCUCCCUCACACUCUCCCUCCUUUCUUUUCCCUCCUUCGAUAACUCAGGUGCUUUGGGAAUUUCCUUCAGAGGCAGCAAUCUCGGCUUGUUUUUCUACCCUGAAUAUAACUUCAACUGCUUAACUUGGCAACUAUUUCUUCACAUACUCUGAGACAAAUUUUAAUUGCCAAUUACCACUGCUUCAGUUACUUGUUACUUUGGUAGUUUGUUUCCCUAGCGGCUUCUGGUGUUUCCUUGUUCCCCAAAGUCUCUUCUGUUGUACUCGUUUGCUAAAUAUUCCCCCUGCCUCAUCUCCCGGCUGUGUUUAGUCAGCGAUCCCAGCUGUAGGGACCCAGAGUUUCUCUGCAUAUACCGGCAUGCAGCAAUCACCCAUGUUCUGGCAGUGUUCCUAAGCAGAGCUCUCCCUGCCCUCAGCUAUUGUUUCAGGGAGAUGUUUUUCUCUCUCUGCCAAUAAGUCUUUCUGGUUUCUAUUAGCUGGUGGCUCUGAGCCUGGCUCAGCAACCCCAGGACCAGGACUGUGCCAGCAUCUGUUAGCAAGGAGAGAGGAACAGGAGCACCAGGGGGAGUGUGUACACAGAGCAGGAGGAACAGGAAGGGCAGGCUAAGUUGUACAGAAGGAGCUGGAGAAUCUUCUGGGAAAGACGUGAGACCACGGAGAGGAAAUUCCCCUGCUGGAUCUGUUUACAUACAUGCACAUACUACCCAUAAUAAUAAUAAUGGUGGUAUUUGUUAAGCGCUUACUAUGUGCCAAGCACUGUUCUAAG